UCCGGCUUGUCACCGGCAGUUUCUUUAGAGUGCCCAACUGAAUGAUGGCAACUAAAGAUGAGGGUUGCUCUCGUUGCGGGACUUAACCCAACAUCUCACGACACGAGCUGACGACAGCCAUGCAGCACCUGUCUCACGAUUCCCGAAGGCACCCGGACAUUUCUGCCCAGUUCCGUGGAUGUCAAGACCAGGUAAGGUUCUUCGCGUUGCAUCGAAUUGAACCACAUGCUCCACCGCUUGUGCGGGUCCCCGUCAAUUCCUUUGAGUUUUAAUCUUGCGACCGUACUCCCCAGGCGGUCUACUUCACGCGUUAGCUGCGUUACCAAGUCAAUUAAGACCCGACAACUAGUAGACAUCGUUUAGGGCGUGGACUAC
rnacentral:misc_RNA from 1 species